UGGUUGCCCAGUUUUAGGUUUCCUUUGCAGUAAGUGCAGGACCACCAUCCAAAUGGAUGGUCCUGGGAUUAUCAAAUGCAUACUAAGGAAGUGAGACUAGAAAACGUGGCAUCAGAGGUUGCACUUCGCACAGGAUAUAUCCAAGUAAACCUGUUACAUGCAUCAACACAUACACAAACAUACUUAUAACCAUGAGAUGUUGG